rnacentral:sRNA from 1 species
GUUGUGGCAAAAUCCACAGCCGGGCGUGAGAACCCGUUUAACACAAAGGCGACACAGACGCCGAAAGCGUCUUUUUU